CUACGGGAGGCUCCAGUGAGGAAUUUUGCGCAAUGGGGGAAACCCUGACGCAGCAACGCCGCGUGAGCGAAGAAGGCCUUCGGGUCGUAAAGCUCUGUCAAGUGGGAAAAAAAUUCUUUGAUGAACAGUCAAAGGACUUGAUGGUACCACUGGAGGAAGCACCGGCUAACUCCGUGCCAGCAGCCGCGGUAAUACGGAGGGUGCAAGCGUCGUUCGGAAUUACUGGGCGUAAAGAGCGUGUAGGCGGUUUGACAAGUCAGAUGUGAAAGCCCCGGGCUCAACCCGGGAAGUGCAUUUGAAACUGUUUCACUAGAGUAUGGGAGAGGAGAUUGGAAUUCCUGGUGUAGAGGUGAAAUUCGUAGAUAUCAGGAGGAACACCCGUGGCGAAGGCGAUUCUCUGGACCAAUACUGACGCUGAGACGCGAAAGCGUGGGGAGCAAACAGGAUUAGAUACCCUUGUAGUC
rnacentral:rRNA from 1 species